UACGUAGGGUGCAAGCGUUGUCCGGAAUUAUUGGGCGUAAAGGGCUCGUAGGCGGUCCAUCGCGUCGGGAGUGAAAAGCUGGGGCUUAACCCCAGUCCUGCUUCCGAUACGGGUAGACUAGAGGUAGGUAGGGGAGAACGGAAUUCCUGGUGUAGCGGUGAAAUGCGUUGAUAUCUGCAGGAACACCCGUGGCGAAGGCAGUUCUCUGGGACGGUACUGACGCUGAGACGCGAAAGCGUGGGGAGCGAACAGG
rnacentral:rRNA from 1 species